GAAGAGUCAGCAGGAUUUAGGUUGAUCUUCAGUCUUGAUGUCCUGGUUUUUCUCUGGGAACACCAGGAUGUGUAAGGUAGGAUGAGGCAGAGGCAUAAAGAGCUGGAAUAAUGGGGAGUAAAUGGAAGCUGACAACACUCAGGGCCAUCUUGCCCGGCAUCCCUAGAGUGAUGAAGCUGUUGUCUCCAUUCCCAGACAGCAUUGAUAAAGCCAUCUCUUCCCAUACAUAUUCCACACACAUGAUUGGUUGCUGGGGUUGAGCAAUAAUAGGGCUUGUAUGUUAGCAGGAACCUAAAACUAAACUGAAAUGUAAGUCUGUUUGUCCAUCUAUCCAUCCAUCCACCCAUCAUCUAAUUAUCCAUAUAUUACUUAUAUUAUUAAAACUAAAUAGGUCAUGUGAAUAUCUAUUUAUCAUCUAUAUAUCCACCCAUCUCUGAUCUAUCUCUUUCUUAUCUAUCUAUCUAUCCAUCAUCUAUCUAUCUAUCUAUCUUAUCUAUCUAUCUAUCUAUCUAUCUAUCUAUCUAUCUAUCUAUCUAUAGCUACCUAAUACUAUGUUAAUCUCUCUCUACAGUCUAUUUGAUCAUCUACUUACCUAUAUAAUCUCAUAAACAGUUGGUGAUGAGAAAAAGGAGCCCAGCAGAACAG
rnacentral:lncRNA from 1 species